rnacentral:rRNA from 1 species
UGCAGUCGGACGGGAUUCGGGACAGAGCUUGCUUUGUCCUGAUGAGAGUGGCGCACGGGUGCGUAACGCGUGAGCAACCUGCCCCUGUCAGGGGUAUAGCCCCUCGAAAGAGGGACUAACACCGCAUGACGAUAUCCCCCGGCAUCGGGGGAUGUCCAAAUAUUCAUAGGACAGGGAUGGGCUCGCGUGGCAUUAGCUAGUUGGUUGGGUAACGGCUGACCAAGGCUACGAUGCCUAGGGGCUCUGAGAGGAGAAUCCCCCACACUGGUACUGAGACACGGACCAGACUCCUACGGGAGGCAGCAGUAAGGAAUAUUGGUCAAUGGAGGGAACUCUGAACCAGCCAUGCCGCGUGCAGGAGGAAGGCCCUACGGGUCGUAAACUGCUUUUGCCGGGGAACAACCCUAUCUACGUGUAGGUAGCUGAGUGUACCCGGAGAAUAAGGAUCGGCUAACUCCGUGCCAGCAGCCGCGGUAAUACGGAGGAUCCGAGCGUUAUCCGGAUUUAUUGGGUUUAAAGGGUGCGUAGGCGGCUUUCUAAGUCAGGGGUGAAAUACAGCGGCUCAACCGUUGCAGUGCCUUUGAUACUGGAGGGCUUGAAUGUGGUCGAAGGCGGCGGAAUGGGACAAGUAGCGGUGAAAUGCAUAGAUAUGUCCCAGAACCCCGAUAGCGAAGGCAGCUGCCUAGGCCAUAAUUGACGCUGAUGCACGAAAGCGUGGGGAUCGAACAGGAUUAGAUACCCUGGUAGUCCACGCCCUAAACGAUGGUGGCUCGGUGUCGGCGAUAUACAGUC